rnacentral:rRNA from 1 species
GUGAGGAAUUUUCCGCAAUGGGCGAAAGCCUGACGGAGCAAUGCCGCGUGAAGGAUGAAGGCCUAUGGGUUGUAAACUUCUUUUCUUAGAGAAGAAUAUUGACGGUAUCUGAGGAAUAAGCAUCGGCUAACUCUGUGCCAGCAGCCGCGGUAAGACAGAGGAUGCAAGCGUUAUCCGGCAUGAUUGGGCGUAAAGCGUCUGUAGGUGGCUUCAAAAGUCUCCUGUCAAAGAUCAGGGCUUAACCCUGGGCCGGCAGGAGAAACUCUGAGGCUAGAGUUUGAUAGAGGCAGAGGGAAUUCCCGGUGGGGCGGAGAAAUGCGUAGAGAUCAGGAGGAACAGCAAAGGCGAAAGCACUCGGCUGGGCCACAACUGACACUGAGAGACGAAAGCGAGGGGAGCAAAAGGGAUUAGAAACCCCGGUAGUCC